rnacentral:rRNA from 1 species
CAGGACGAACGCUGGCGGCGUGCCUAAUACAUGCAAGUCGAGCGGAGAAAUGGGAGCUUGCUCCCAUUUCUCAGCGGCGGACGGGUGAGUAACACGUGGGCAACCUGCCCUACAGACUGGGAUAACUCCGGGAAACCGGAGCUAAUACCGGGUAAUACAUAGCAUCGCAUGAUGCAACGUUGAAAGUUGGCCUUUGGCUAACACUGUAGGAUGGGCCCGCGGCGCAUUAGCUAGUUGGUAAGGUAACGGCUUACCAAGGCCACGAUGCGUAGCCGACCUGAGAGGGUGAUCGGCCACACUGGGACUGAGACCCGGCCCAGACUCCUACGGGAGGCAGCAGUAGGGAAUCUUCCGCAAUGGACGAAAGUUUGACGGAGCCACGCCGCGUGAGUGACGAAGGCCUUCGGGUCGUAAAGCUCUGUUGUUAGGGAAGAACAAGUACCGUUCGAAUAGGGCGGUACCUUGACGGUACCUAACCAGAAAGCCACGGCUAACUAC